UUUUCUUAUAAACAUUCCAAAGAGCAUUUAAGUUUUACUGAUUUUUGUUUCACCUUGACUGAGUCAAAAAGCUACAUACACGUAGGUUUGCUGUUUCAGAUUUAAACGGAAUGGAAGUCAAGAAUGUAUUAGUUUAUGAUGAAGGUCAGUUUAUUUGAAACCACCAGUGGUAGAUCAAUGAUAUUUGGUAUGCAGUUAUAUUAGCAUUGGCAAAUCUCAUUUCCAUGGAGAUUUUAUGGCCCUGUCCUCAGUCAUGUUCUAAUAACUUUGAAUAGAAGUCAAGAAUGUAUUAGUUUAUGAUAAGGUCGGUUUAUUUGGAACCACCAGUGGUAGAUCAAUGAUAUUUGGUAUGCAGUUAUAUUAGCAUUGUCAAAUCUCAUUUCCAUGGAGAUUUUAUGGCCCUGUCCUCAGUCAUGUUCUAUUGACUUUGAAUGUUUAGCAUAAUUUACAUGUUAAAGUUUGUAAUAAGUUAAGUUUAAGG
rnacentral:lncRNA from 1 species